rnacentral:rRNA from 1 species
UACGUAGGUGGCAAGCGUUGUCCGGAUUUAUUGGGCGUAAAGGGCCCGUAGGCGGCUUGAUAAGUUGGGUGUGAAAACUCCGGGCUCAACCCGGAGACGCCACCCAAUACUGUCAUGGCUUGAGUCUGGUAGGGGAGUGCGGAAUUCCUGGUGUAGCGGUGAAAUGCAUAGAUAUCAGGAGGAACACCGGUGGCGAAGGCGGCACUCUGGGCCAGUACUGACGCUGAUGGGCGAAAGCGUGGGUAGCAAACAGG